CGUUUCGUGAUAUUGGACCUUCCUUUAAUGAAACAGAAGCAAAUAAUGCGUCGCUUCCAACAGAGGAUGUUUUAUUUCAAGAAAACCUAAAUAGAAUGGAACCUGUUCAACUUUUAAGUAUUCACCCUUCCACAAGUGCUUUCAGUAGUCCACCCACGGAAGAAAAUGUUGAAGCCUCAACUAGCAGAUCAGAUUUGCUGUCUACACAUUUUUUAUACCAUGUUUUAUUGUGUUAGUUUAAAUAAAACUUAAUGAUUAUGAUUUUAUAGUUUAAUUAAAAAAAAUAGACUGCAAAUUUAUAUUUUUGAACUUAUACCAAAGACUACAGUAGUAGUCUUUGCUUAUACAUAAAUUUGUUUUCUAAUAACAUAUUAACUUUUUUUUUAAAUAAAAGACUUCUAUAAAACUGAGACAUUUAUUGUUGUAAUAUUUGCAAAUUAUGUGAUAUUUAUAAAAAUACACUGGUGCAUAUUGAUUGAGUCUUCUUUUUUUGAUCCUUGUUUUAGUUACUUAACAAGAAACAAC